CUCUAAUCUUUCCUACGAUGACGUCGGUGGGACCUUCCGGCGGCGAUGGCGGUGAAUGGAAGACGAAAGAGAAAGGGGAACAAGUCAAGAUUCUAUUCUGUCAUAAGAGGAAUAAAGAUAUGGGAAUUGACCUUGAAGCUGGCGUCUUUUAUCGCAGUUUGAGUGUUAGACUCAAUUGAAGGAAAAUGUAAGCACUGGAAUGUUAACAAGGAAAUGUUGAUCAGAACCAAGAUCUGCUAAACUAGAUGUAGAACAACAUGAAUUGAUCAUAUCAGCGCAUUCGUACCUUACUGAUGCUUUUGAUGGUGCCGACGGAUGAGAUGAAACAAAAUGAUGGUAUAGGUCAUGGAAGAAAUGUGAGCGUCUGGGGAAGUGCACAAUUAAAGUGGUAUAUAAGUGUUACAAAUGGAGAUUUUUGCAACAAACUCACAAGGCGUGGCAAGCUUUGAGGUUGGCUUCAGGCUCUUCUGUGACACUUGCUCAGUUGCUUGUAGCGAUUGGCAGUAGACGACAAAUCAACGAAAAGAAACAAAAAAGGAAGAAGAAACGGAUAUAGAUUGGCCCAGGACACGGGUAUGUUAUUUUAACAAGUGAUUUGGUCUUUGUUUCGCCACAUAUUUUUUCAUUUAUAUGUUCUAUGAUUUUAUCGGUGGAGCUUGUUAGAAAGUACAUGGAAAUAAUUUUGUGCUGAUUUGUUGGCUUAACUGGAUUUUUCUUCUCUUAUGAAGUAACUAUUGAGUUGGCA